GAGGCAGCAGUAGGGAAUAUUGGUCAAUGGAUGCAAGUCUGAACCAGCCAUGCCGCGUGCAGGAAGAAGGCCUUCUGGGUUGUAAACUGCUUUUGCCGGGGGAUAAAAUUCCCAUGCGUGGGACAUUGAAGGUACCCGGUGAAUAAGCCACGGCUAACUACGUGCCAGCAGCCGCGGUAAUACGUAGGUGGCAAGCGUUGUCCGGAUUUAUUGGGUUUAAAGGGUGCGUAGGCGGCCUAUUAAGUCAGUUCUGAAAUAUCCCGGCUUAACCGGGAGGGUGGGAUUGAUACUGAUGGGCUUGAGUGGAGUCGAGGUAGGCGGAAUUGACGGUGUAGCGGUGAAAUGCUUAGAUAUCGUCAAGAACACCGAUAGUGUAGACAGCUUACUAGACUUCAACUGACGCUGAGGCACGAAAGUGUGGGGAUCAAACAGGAUUAGAUACCCUGGUAGUCCACACUGUAAACGUUGAUUACUCGCUGUGUGCGAUAUACAGUACGCGGCUUAGCGAAAGCGAUAAGUAAUCCACCUGGGGAGUACGCCGGCAACGGUGAAACUCAAAGGAAUUG
rnacentral:rRNA from 1 species